CCUAGCUUGCUAGGUGGAUUAGUGGCGCACGGGUGAGUAAUAUAUAGAUAACGUGCCUCUUAGUCUGGGAUAGCCAUUGGAAACGAUGAUUAAUACUAGAUACUCCUUCUAACUCUAAUGUUAGUCGGGAAAGUUUUUCGCUAAGAGAUCGGUCUAUAUCCCAUCAGCUAGUUGGUAGUGUAAGAGACUACCAAGGCAAUGACGGGUAGCGGGUUUGAGAGGAUGAUCCGCCACACUGGUACUGAGACACGGACCAGACUCCUACGGGAGGCAGCAGUGAGGAAUAUUGCACAAUGGAGGAAACUCUGAUGCAGCAACGCCGCGUGGAGGAUGACGCAUUUCGGUGUGUAAACUCCUUUUAUAUGUCAAGAAAAUGACGGUAGCAUAUGAAUAAGCACCGGCUAACUCCGUGCCAGCAGCCGCGGUAAUACGGAGGGUGCAAGCGUUAUUCGGAAUCACUGGGCGUAAAGGACGCGUAGGCGGGAUGCCAAGUCUGAUGUGAAAUCCUAUGGCU
rnacentral:rRNA from 1 species